GGGACACCAUGGAAUGCCUGGUCCCAAGGGUGAACCUGGAGAGGCGAUCAGAGGAGAGAAGGGCGUGGGUGGAGCACCUGGACUGAGUGGGUUGGAUGGCCUCCCGGGUCCGUCUGGGCCGGCAGGAUUAGUGGGGCUCCCAGGUGCCAAGGGAGAAAAGGGGAAGUUAGGAGAGCCCGGAAUGGAUGGUUUUCCAGGUCUGCCGGGAGGAAAAGGUGAUCGGGGCGAUAGAGGAGACAAGGGUUGUAACGGACCCAAAGGCCUCUCAGAUGGGGCCGCUCUCUCUGAUCCUUCCCCUCCUCUUCCUCCUACGGCCCCGGGCGCCCCCGGGGGGCCCUGUCCUGUGGGCCAAGAUGGACUACCAAUACAAGGUUGCUGGCACAAGGAGGAGAUGGCAAGGCAGAAGCUUAAACGCAAGCGUCUCUCUCAGCCCUGAACAGGAGAGAGGGUUCCUAGGGGGGACAGGAAGGAGACGUAGAUGGACAAGAGAGCAUAUGGGACUACACUGCCCUCUGGGAAGCAGAGAAAACCAUGGAAGGCCUUUUGUGGCACACGCAACACUCAGAUCCGCUGUGACAGACAUUCACCAGGAGGGGGUGCCAGAAUACACGCCAUAUCCGCAUUCAUCGUAGGAGGGCGCCAGCACCCAUGUCUGUUACGAUAACGUUUACCAGGUGGCGGUAAAACAGCUCUUUGCUCUGGGUCAUUGAGGUCACUGGCACAUACAGAGAGGAUAAACCAAGUAGAAUUUAUUGAACGUGUUGUUGCUAAUCUAUUGGUUUAUGCAUUUACAGAUUCAGUUGAUUGUGGAGAUCCACUGUGAUGCUGUAUGUCAUUCUUACAGCGUAUAUUACAUGGUCUCUUUAUCUUUGCAAACCAAAAACCUUAAGCUAUUCUAGUUAUAUUUUAUUUAAAAUAAAACAGUCUUUGACAUUCUUUACAUUCAACCUGGCCAUAGGUUUUUCUCUUCUUUAUGACUUUUUGACAGUUCUUGCAUUUGACUUGUGGUGUUUUGUAUUGUUUAGUUUCAUUCUUAUCGACUCAAGUAACAUGUUGCAUUCCUGUGCAUUUAUGUUUUUGUAUAGAAUGCUCAAAAUUUGUAUUUGAGUGCAAGCCAGUACUGAAGGAACCAUAUACAGUAAUUAGAACGAUGCAGAAGUGUGUUGGCUCUAAGCAGAUCCAUUGUUUGGUUAAUUCUUCUCCUUCUUCCUUUUUUUGCUCAAAAUAGUCUUGUAUCAAAUGCUUGUCAGCCAAGUGUUAUGUAUUUUCAUUGACCUAUCUCUUAAUCAUAGGUUAAAACGUGUUAUAUUGCCAUGGCUUUUGAUCACCAAAAUAAUUGCUUGCCAUGUUUUUGUGAGAAAAGUUGUCGGUUUAUAAAGACAUAAAUAUUAUUAUUACACACUCUGAUACACAUUCUUAGUGUGUCUCUAUUUAACUCUUUCACACACAGUGAAACACACACACUCCCACACAUGCUCUCUGGGAAAUUACAACAAAGAGGGAUUGCAGCAGGCUAGUCUAACUCAAGAGUUUUCAAGGCUCUUGUACAAACAAGACGAAUGUUUGAAAUUGCUUUUUUUUCCCUGUCCUUUUUGUUGAUACUUAAAGAUGAUUACGUUUGAAUUCAUUCAUAGACAUUGUUUGAAGGUAUAAACUAGUAUGUGUUUACCAGAUUAACUUCCGUUUCGGGAUUGAGGUCAGUGCUCAACUAUUGAUAGGAAAGAUAUAUAAUUUGAUCAGAACAUUUACAGAAUGUGUUUAUUACCUGGACAUAGUUGACUGCAGUGAAGCAACCACAGCGCCUUAUUAAUGGUUAUUUAUGUUUAUAAUGAUUGGUUAGAGUUAAUUACUCAUGUUUGUUUUUAUUUUAAAUAAGAGUAAGUAAUUGUAGAUCGAUUUCUCCAGCAAUACACAUAGAUUUUGAUAUCUAUUGGCCAAUUUUAUUUUUGAGUGCAUAAUUCUUCAAAUAAUGUUUUUGUGUGGCAGGGUAAUUGCUAUAGCUACAAGCUAAAAGCAAGGUCAAUUGUAAAAUGGCUUCAUUGCGAAACAGCAAACAUCCCAGAUAUGAUCAUCAAAAUGACCUUCAGCAUGCUUGGUAAGUCUAAUCAAGACUUGUGAAAAGUGACGGAACUACCAUUAUUAAAAAGUCCAUAUAGGUUAACCAAAGCAAUUGAUCUUACUGUGUUUUAAAGAGUUAUCAGAUAUUUUCUGAUUUGUUUGAAUUGCCGAUUCAUCACCAACUUUGAACGUGUAGCAUACCAUAUUCUGGAUAAGCCAAUUACAUGCAACUGAAAGUCAUGGCAUGCUGAAUUAGAAUUAGGAGUGGAAAUGGAGUCAACAAUUCAGUAACUUCUUAAUGACAGUUGUACAUGCCUGUUUGAUGGGAUUCUGAUAGCUAUCUGUCACCUACAUCGUUAUGUGUUUAUUUCUUUAACAGAUUCUAUCAGAGUACCUUCAGUGGGCCUAUAUGCAUAGCAGCAUCUGAUAAGACUUUAUUAUAAACAAUUUCAGUAUUAUUUUUUGACUUGUACGUUUAUUUGUUUCUGAAUGGAUGUAAAAGUAUUGAGCUAUUUUUGUAAUUAAUCAACUUUGCUUAACGAACAUUCUGGUCGACUCAACAUGUAGACUGAAAUUAAUAAUCCCUUGUCUAAAACAGUUUGUGUAUGGAAUAAAGAAUUGAGUUAAAUAACA
ensembl:lncRNA